UAGGUAGCCUAACCGCAAGGGAGGGCGCUUACCACGGCGGGGUUCGUGACUGGGGUGAAGUCGUAACAAGGUAGCCGUAUCGGAAGGUGCGGCUGGAUCACCUCCUUUCUGGAAACAAGAGCAAUCAAGAUUGAACGUCCACACUUAUCGGUUGUUGAGAAGAGCUUUGGCUGGGUGCUGGGUGCGCGAGAGCGUGCGGGGUAUCUGGUUGAGGGAAUGGGUCUGUAGCUCAGCUGGUUAGAGCACCGUCUUGAUAAGGCGGGGGUCGUUGGUUCGAGCCCAACUAGACCCACCAAGAUCUUCCAACGGAUGGCAUGUUGAUUGGCUAGAGCCAAGCGGUGCGAGGCGUCUGGUGCGAAGCACACUGGGGUGUGUGAGCGGUAGGCAACGAAGCAAUGCGCCGGCUAUAGACGAUCAAAGGGGGAUUAGCUCAGCUGGGAGAGCACCUGCUUUGCAAGCAGGGGGUCGUCGGUUCGAUCCCGUCAUCCUCCACCAAGAAUAGUGUCCUGGGGUAAACGAGGAUGCUAUAAUCAUUGGCUCCUCAAUACAAAAGCAGCUUGUAGAGCAGGCUGCUUUUGUAUUGAUCGAUCCGAUCAAUAAAGGCUGUUCUUUAAAAAUUCAUAGAGUCGAAAUCAGAGUUGCUGGCGGAAAACACCGCAAGGUGUACCGUGCCGCCAGUGACUAAUUUGAUUGCGUCAAAACGAAUAAGACUUUGCGAAAGCAAUGAUUAUUCAGUAAUGACGAAUAUUCUCCAAGAUAGCAAUAUCGAGGGAUUAUUCACAUUACGGCAUAACGCGCGAGGUGAGAGACCUCGCAGCGGUUGCUUGACUGAGCUUGGGGUUCUCGACAAGAGAAGUCAAAGUUAUAGGGUCAAGUGACU
rnacentral:rRNA from 1 species